GAUUAACGCUGGCGGCGUGCCUAAAACAUGCAAGUCGAACGCAAGUGUCCUUUCGGGGGUGCUUGAGUGGCAGACGGCUGAGUAAGACGCGCGGGACCUGGCCACGAGUGGGGAAUAACCGCCCGAAAGGGUGGCUAAGACCGCAUACGCUUCUUCGGGUAGGACUGAGGAAGGAAAGCCUGUGGGCGCUGGUGGGGGGACGCGCGGCCCAUCAGCUGGUUGGUGGGGUAACGGCCUACCAAGGCGACGACGGGUAGCUGGUCUGAGAGGAUGAUCA
rnacentral:rRNA from 1 species